rnacentral:tRNA from 1 species
UCUUAUGUAGUUAACAUAAUAACAUUAUAUUUUCAUUAUAAAAAUAAAAAUUCUUUUCAUAAGAU